rnacentral:lncRNA from 1 species
UAAGGUAAGGGCUUGUCUAUGUUGUAAAUGAUAGAAAAAUCUUUCUUAGGGUUUUUGGUGUUGCACGAUCCCCUCUGGUACAAAUCUUUCUUCCAAGUUGAAGGAAUCAACAUAAGCUAUACUCUUGGUGGCAACAUCUCAAUGCUUAGUAACCUUCUCAUAUGGUUUAGCUUAAACCCACUUCACAAUGUUCUUUAGUAGUUGCAGGGAAAAUUGAGCGGGUAUCUAUUAAAAACAAAGGAACAUCAGAUUACAAUUCACUUUAAAGAAAGUCGAUUAAAGGGAAGAAAUAAUAAAAAUAAGACUCAACACAACUGGAGAACCUGAUUGCAAUGGGAGAUACUCUCUCCACAAUUAUUUUUCAAUAUACAAAGCUUUCACAUCAAACCUACCGUCCAAAAAUCAAGUAGUAACAUUAAAACACAACAGCAACUUAGCCUCAGGCUGUGGAAACAAAUGUGACAAUUGGAAGGUUGAGAAGUGUCAAAGAACACUAACAUAAUGUUCACGUGACCCAAACAAGGCAAACCAUUUCCCAAGACUACAAGACAUAACAGUAAGCAGCACAAUGACUCUGGUCAGUUUUCAAGUAAUUAAUACUCCAUCUGUUUCAAUAGAUGAUGUUUUAGGUGAUUUUUGUUUUUUUCAGAAUAGAUGAUGCUUUUAUUUAUUAGAUAAUUUUAAUUUUAUCAAAAACUGUGUAACUAAUUAUGUUUUUAUUAUUUUUGUUUAUAGUUAGAUAAAUCAAUUUUAAAUUAUAUUUUUAAUAGUCUUAAAAAAAAAAAAAAAUUCUUAAUGUGCGAAAAGAAUCAAAACUUUGUGUAUUAUAAAACGGGAGUAGAAACCUGAAAUAAAUGUACAAGACUCUCAAAGUACACCUUUACUAAUCAAAACAAGGACAUUUGUUACAAGCAUUGACAAUGAGAAUCAAACCCAAAAUAAGACAUAGCACAAGUUCUCUUGAAUGGCCGUUUUACAAAUCACAGAUCAUUGAAACGGCAACAUUCUGGGGUUGUUUUAAGUAACUUGACUGGACUUUAAUUACGCAUAAGAAGUCAUGCUACAGGACAAAAGAGGACCACAUCUGACACAAGUAUAGACAGUCGCAAAGUUAGCCUAAGAAUCAGUAAGAAGCUGAGAGAGAGAGAGUCCAUACCCAUACGUCAAUCAUUCAUUCAGGCGAUAGAUUGAUGAUAUGAAAUUAUGAAAAAUGAAGUGAGGAAGACUAUAUAAGAAUCUCCUUAGUCCUAAACGACAGCGUU